rnacentral:rRNA from 1 species
AGCGAACGUUUGCGGCGGGCCUAACACAUGCAAGUCGAACGCACUAGCAAUAGUGAGUGGCGCACGGGUGCGUAACACGUGGGUAAUCAACCCUUCAGCCUGGGAUAACGACUCGAAAGGGUCGCUAAUACCGGAUACGGCGCGAGAGGCUUCGGCUUCUCACGAGAAAGCCACGCAAGGGGCACUGAAGGACGAGCCUGCGGCCCAUCAGCUAGUUGGUGAGGUAAGAGCUCACCAAGGCUAAGACGGGUAGCUGGUCUGAGAGGAUGAUCAGCCACACUGGAACUGAGACACGGUCCAGACUCCUACGGGAGGCAGCAGUGGGGAAUAUUGCGCAAUGGGCGAAAGCCUGACGCAGCCACGCCGCGUGAGCGAUGAAGGCCU